AACAUAAUAUUUCUAAUUUUCGGAUAGCUCCCCUAACCAAAUUAUGGGGAAUAUAUUUCCCAGGUUGCGGCUACCGCCUGCAUUUCGAGGGCCGAAAAUCCGAAUCCGGUGAAAAAAGAUGAAAAAAAAAACUUACUUUCUUUGAUGGUAUCGAUGUAAGGUGCUUGACUAGAUGAAGUGAUGAAGACUAGAAAAAUAAGAAUGAUACAAGACUUUAGAGUCAUCUUUGGAUGAUAUGUAAAAGCUGUACCAAGUUAACUGAAAUAAAAGAAUUUUAUUAUACAUAUGAA